ACCAGUAGGAGUGCAGAGCUGUGAGAGCACUGAGCGCCGCUGGGCAUCACUGCAGUGCUCACCGGAGACAGAUCGCAGAGUCAGAUGCAGAUAGAAGCUGAGGUUAAAAAAGAAAAAGAGAAAUCACAUGCCCAGAGUGACUUAUGCUGGACCAUCACAGCUGCCUGGGCUUCCAUUUCCUUUCCUGUAAGACUGGAAAAUGAGAGCAUUUAGCCUUGGUGAACUCUGAAGGCCUGUCCUGCUCCUACGCUACACAAACCACCACAGCUCUCUGUGGGAUUUACAGCCAAAUGUUACAUAAUGCUCUUUAAUCUUCAUGAUAAAGCCAUGUUUCUAGCUCUGAGCCUUUCCUGCCAACACUAAAACUCUGGCUGCAUCCAGAUAUACCCUGCAAGUACUGAGAGGGCUGUAGGACGUCCACGCAGAGAUCCUCAGAGGUGUCUCAGAGCCAGCAGAGUCUCCGAACUGUUUGAUCACAUUCCAGCUCUUCCCAUACCUCGAUUUCUGUUGCUAUGGAGACUUCCAACGGGACUGAGACCUGGUACAAGAGCCUCCACGCUGUGCUAAAGGCUCUGAACACAACCCUUCACAGUCACUUGCUCUGCCGGCCUGGGCCAGGGCCAGGGUCAGGAACAGGGCCAGACAAUCAAACAGAGGAUCAUCGGGCUAGCCUUCCCGGCCGUAAUGACAACUCCUACAUGUAUAUUCUUUUUGUCAUGUUCCUAUUCGCUGUCACUGUGGGCAGUCUCAUCCUGGGAUAUACCCGUUCACGCAAAGUGGACAAACGUAGUGACCCCUAUCAUGUGUACAUCAAAAACCGUGUGUCUAUGAUCUGAUGUGAGGUGCCUGAGGACAAUGGAAGAUUAUGAUGUCUGAGGAUUGUCUUCUUGGGUCUCCGGAACUCAUCUCGACCCUAUCAAGCCACAGUACCUCUGUCUAUACAAGAUCAACGAGAAAUUGGUAAGAGAGUUAGGUCAUCACUGGGACCAGAGAAGAGGGGCUGAUAGGCCUGGUCUUCUGGAUGAGACAUUUUUCUAGACACAGAUGCGCAUUAUAAACUCAGAGCCCGUGAGCACACAUAUAAAAGUAUGGACAACCAACAAGUAGGAGAGGAAGCUGUGGUGAAGGGAAAUGGAGCAGGAAAAUGCUCUGGAAAUAUAAUCUUUUAAUGUAUGAUCUUUAACAUGAGAGAUCUUGAUAAAACAGAGAAUGCUACUUACUUGUAUCGAUUCAAAGUUUGUUCUUUAAAUAGCCUUAAUAUUUGUGGGUUUUGCCUCAUCUGCCAAGAAAACGGAACAAGUCCUAUGACUGGAAUCCAGGAACUCUGGUCAUUUCUUCUAGGACUUUUCAAUCCCACGUCGGGUAAGAUCCAGGCCAGAAGAACAUUCGGCCGAGCACAAUGAUGCAUGUCUACAAUUGUAGUGCUCAAGAGGCUGAGUGGGGAGGAUCAUUUGAGUUCAAGAGUUCAAGACCAGACUACUCAAGCUCUAUCUUGGAAGGGACUUGGUGGGGGCUGUUGAGAAAUAUCUUACUUUUACAAAUAUUACCAAAGACACGUCACUGUGCUAACGUAUUGCUCGGGCACUUCCUGGAUCUUAAGACAGACUGCAAAGUACAGAGUCGUGAGCAUGACACCAUUAGUGACACGGCCACAUGCCUCUUGAGCCUCGUCACUGUGCACUUCCCAGUCAGGGCUCUAAUCCCAGGGGCUUCAUUACCUCGGGUGUAGCCUCUACUCUAUAUUCUGUGAGAAAUGUUUUAAUAACAACUUGAAACUUGCUUCUGAAGCAAGUUCUUGAAAGCCCACUGUGAGUGGUACUUGGGUAGUCCUGGGUUACAUAGGAAAGUGAACUGAACAAGCCAGGAGGAGAAAGCCAGUGUGUAGCCUUCCCCAUAGAUUCAGUUUCAGUACCGGCCUCCAGGUUACUGACCUGAUUUCCCUCGGGUUGGAUCUAAGAUGAAGUAACUCUCCCCUCCUCCGAGUUUCCUUUGAUUAUGAUGGUUAUCACAGCGCUACAAACCCUUAACCAAAACAGCUGGAUAUGUCUCUUUUGGGCCUUUUCUUUUUUUCUCUUUAGUAUAAUGAAAUAUUUAGACUUGAAAAUGUAAAUGCCUUACCAACUCUGAUCUUACAUUCAUAUAAGAUUAGGCUGAGGCAUGUAAAAUUGCGACUUGUAGGUCAAAAGCAGGUGAAUACCAGGUUGUUUCACGUGGUUCUCCCUAAUUAUUCGUAGAGUGUGGUGAGUGAAUUCUUUACUGGCUAUUGUUCCAGGUCCCAGCCUUGGAACCACCCACUGCUGUGGCUGACUUCCAUCUGCCGGGCUCUGUGUGCUUCCCAGAAUGUGUAUGGAGACAUACAUGCUUGUAUUCAGCAAUCUUUCGAAGGAUUUUUGACAGCAUUCUCUCAGUGGCAUAGGAUUAUGGGUGGUCUUCCCUUUCCACUUCAGUAGGGUGUGUCAAUCUUGACUUAUAGGACCCAACAUACCAUAGUUGCAUUUUAAAGGGCAGGCGUCUUCUCCCUUGAAAUGCUUCUCAGUGAAAGCACAGGCUGCUCUUGCAGAGGACCCAGACUUGGUUCCCAGCUCUCAUGUAAUGGCUCACAACCAUCUAACUCCCGUUGUAAGAGGUCCAAUGUCUUCUUCCAGUCUCUGACACACAGACACACAUGCAGGCAAACAUCCAUACACACAAAACAGAAAUGAAGAAACUUGUUUAAAUGAUAAAAAAA
ensembl:lncRNA Kcne3 potassium voltage-gated channel subfamily E regulatory subunit 3